ACGAACGCUGGCGGCGUGCUUAACACAUGCAAGUCGAGCGGUAAGGCCCUUCGGGUACGACGAGCGGCGAACGGGUGAGUAACACGUGGGUAACCUGCCCUGUACUUUGGGUAGUAAGCCUGGGAAACGUGGGUCUAAUACCGAAUAUGACUUCAUCACGCAUGUGGUGGGGUGGAAAGUUCUGGCGGUACAGGAUGGGCCCGCGGCCUAUCAGCUUGUUGGUGGGGUGAUGGCCUACCAAGGCGACGACGGGCAGCCGGCCUGAGAGGGCGACCGGCCACACUGGGACUGAGACACGGCCCAGACUCCUACGGGAGGCAGCAGUGGGGAAUCUUGCGCAAUGGGCGAAAGCCUGACGCAGCGACGCCGCGUGAGGAUGAC
rnacentral:rRNA from 1 species